rnacentral:rRNA from 1 species
UACGGAGGGAGCUAGCGUUGUUCGGAAUUACUGGGCGUAAAGCGCACGUAGGCGGCUUUGUAAGUUAGAGGUGAAAGCCCGGGGCUCAACUCCGGAAUAGCCUUUAAGACUGCAUCGCUUGAAUCCGGGAGAGGUGAGUGGAAUUCCGAGUGUAGAGGUGAAAUUCGUAGAUAUUCGGAAGAACACCAGUGGCGAAGGCGGCUCACUGGACCGGUAUUGACGCUGAGGCGCGAAAGCGUGUGGAGCAAACAGG